CAGCAGCCACGGUAAUACGAACCGUGCAAACGUUACUCGGAAUCACUGGGCUUAAAGCGCACGUAGGCGGCGACAUAAGUUAGAGGUGAAAUCCCAUCGGCUCAACCGUGGAACUGCCUCUAAUACUGUGUUGCUUGAGGGAGAACGGGGCAUUCGGAACUUCCGGUGGAGCGGUGAAAUGUGUUGAUAUCGGAAGGAACGCCGGUGGCGAAAGCGGAAUGCUGGGUCUCUUCUGACGCUGAGGUGCGAAAGCUAGGGUAGCGAACGGGAUUAGAUACCCGGGUAGUCCCUGUCUCUUAUA
rnacentral:rRNA from 1 species